UGUCAAAAUCCACUCUAUUCGUUGUCGAUACUCCCCCGAUCUCUCGGGUGUAAGCUACCUACAACAAAUGAUAUGAAAGCGCGUCGAUCGUUCGCUACACUCUAUGUUUCAAUCUCUCGACCGGAAACACUCGAGUGCUCAAUGCAAUUCAGUUCAGAAAUUAAACCAAUAUUCUCAUACGUGACUUAACUCAAAAUCAUUAUAACACUAGUGAAGGAUUAUAAAGCAUCAAGUAUAGAUUUGCAUUAAGUGAACACUAUGAAAAAGAGUAAAUUCUUACAAUAUAGCAGAUUACAAUAGAUCCAUCUACAUCCUAAGCUAUCCUAGAUCCUACCUCCACAAGAAGUCUAGCUCCUCAUGUUGCUUCGUUCGCGUCCUCGCUUCAACUUCAUGGCUUGAGAAUCCAUGCUAUUGAGGUGCUUGAAGCUAUCCUAUGAAGUUCUGGAUCUAACGAUGAAAGCUCCCAAAACCAGAAAGUAGAUGAAAUGUAGCAGAUUUUCCAACCCCUCAACCAGAAAAUGCAGUUUCCUUAUAUUGCACCUCCUUCAACUACGCCGCGCGUGUAACGGUCUCACGCGGCGCAUGAUAAAAUAUGAGGUCUCUGAUCUUCAACUCUGCAACCUUCACGCCGCGCGUGAUAGCUCCACGCCCCCGGCGUA
rnacentral:lncRNA from 1 species